rnacentral:lncRNA from 1 species
UCUGCGGCGGGGCGGCCAGAUGGCUGUGGCGUGGCCGGGAUGCCUGGGCGUUCCCGACGCGGGCGCGGUGGCGCACCGUGCCGAGCGCCAGCGGGGCCUCCCAGGCGCGGCCGUCUCGGGGCCAGGUAUGGGACCCCUGUCUCCUCUCUAGGCGAAAGGACACAGAGGGCCGCUGCUGUGCGCCCGCGUAGGCGCCGCCAAGCUCCGAAGGGAGUUUGCCCGCCCGAAGCUGAGCGCCCGCAAGGAGAUGCAGGACCUUGGGAAGGAAGGUGA